ACACUCUGGGAACGAGACUGAUUGUGGCAGUAAAGUAGGUGCAGGUCAGAGGGGAAAGGUCAUCACAAGGUGACGCGGAAGGUCUGUGGUCGAAACUUCCAGAGCUGCUGCUACAGUUUCAAAUUUUGGGGCUUAAAAGUUGCGCAUUUGGUUCAAAGUUGUCUAAGAUGGCCAGUCUUGGAUCUGCCCUGCGUCUUGUCGCCGCCCGCGGUCUUGUGGCCAGCAGAAGUCUUACGGCCGGACAAGGACGUCUGCUGCACACUGCCAGGAGAAAACUUGCUGGUGACGCCUCCAGUGCCCGCCAGGCCGUGGCAGACCAGGCACACAUCGGCUCCAUCCGAGACAAAGUCAAGGCCACGUGACAGCCUGGCAUGACGCUUAUCAU